GACGAACGCUGGCGGCGCGCCUAACACAUGCAAGUCGAACGGAGUUAUUUUCUUCACUCCGAGCUUUUUGCCAGUUAGCCGGAGCGGCAAUCGGUUUUGCCCAGUAUAAAAAGCAAAACCGAUUUAGGCUCAUAAAGUAAGGCUAACACAGAGGGCAGAGAGUUGGGAGUGAAGAAAAUAACUUAGUGGCGAACGGGUGAGUAACGCGUGAGUAACCUGCCCUGGAGUGGGGGACAACAGUUGGAAACGACUGCUAAUACCGCAUAAGCCCACGGCCCGGCAUCGGGCUGCGGGAAAAGGAUUUAUUCGCUUCAGGAUGGACUCGCGUCCAAUUAGCUAGUUGGUGAGGUAACGGCCCACCAAGGCGACGAUUGGUAGCCGGACUGAGAGGUUGAACGGCCACAUUGGGACUGAGACACGGCCCAGACUCCUACGGGAGGCAGCAGUGGGGGAUAUUGCACAAUGGGGGAAACCCUGAUGCAGCGACGCCGCGUGGAGGAAGAAGGUUUUCGGAUUGUAAACUCCUGUCGUUAGGGACGAUAAUGACGGUACCUAACAAGAAAGCACCGGCUAACUACGUGCCAGCAGCCGCGGUAAAACGUAGGGUGCAAGCGUUGUCCGGAAUUACUGGGUGUAAAGGGAGCGCAGGCGGACCGGCAAGUUGGAAGUGAAAACUAUGGGCUCAACCCAUAAAUUGCUUUCAAAACUGCUGGCCUUGAGUAGUGCAGAGGUAGGUGGAAUUCCCGGUGUAGCGGUGGAAUGCGUAGAUAUCGGGAGGAACACCAGUGGCGAAGGCGACCUACUGGGCACCAACUGACGCUGAGGCUCGAAAGCAUGGGUAGCAAACAAAAUUAGAUACCCUGGUAGUCCAUGCCGUAAACGAU
rnacentral:rRNA from 1 species